UACGUAGGUGGCAAGCGUUGUCCGGAAUUAUUGGGCGUAAAGCGCGCGCAGGCGGCCUUUUAAGUCUGGCGGUGAAAUGCCGGGGCUCAACCCUGGGAUGCCGGUCGAUACUGCCGGACUAGAGUUCGGAAGAGGCGAGUGGAAUUCCCGGUGUAGCGGUGAAAUGCGCAGAUAUCGGGAGGAACACCUAUGGCGAAGGCAGCUCGCUGGGACGUUACUGACGCUGAGACGCGAAAGCGUGGGGAGCAAACAGG
rnacentral:rRNA from 1 species